UACACUCCUACGGGAGGCAGCAGUGGGGAAUUUUGGACAAUGGGCGAAAGCCUGAUCCAGCAAUGCCGCGUGAGUGAAGAAGGCCUUCGGGUUGUAAAGCUCUUUUGUCAGGGAAGAAACGGUGAAAGCUAAUAUCUUUUGCUAAUGACGGUACCUGAAGAAUAAGCACCGGCUAACUACGUGCCAGCAGCCGCGGUAAUACGUAGGGUGCAAGCGUUAAUCGGAAUUACUGGGCGUAAAGCGUGCGCAGGCGGUUUUGUAAGUCUGAUGUGAAAUCCCCGGGCUCAACCUGGGAAUUGCAUUGGAGACUGCAAGGCUAGAAUCUGGCAGAGGGGGGUAGAAUUCCACGUGUAGCAGUGAAAUGCGUAGAUAUGUGGAGGAACACCGAUGGCGAAGGCAGCCCCCUGGGUCAAGAUUGACGCUCAUGCACGAAAGCGUGGGGAGCAAACAGGAUUAGAUACCCUGGUAGUCC
rnacentral:rRNA from 1 species